UUCUAAGCAAUCUCUGGCGACGAAUCAACAAUUCGAAGUGCUUUUCUUGUGUAUUCUUGAUAAACUAGAGUUUAUAUAUAGAUGUAGGAGGAUCUGUUUGGGAAGUAAGAAGCUCUUUUGACAUCUCUUCAUCUUUCUCAAUGUCAAAACACAAAGACAAGGGGUUGGUCUUUAAAUAGGAAAAAGAGUGGAUUUAUAGGGUCCCAAAUGAAUUGGCUUAUUCAAAAAACGCCUUGUUCUUUGGAAAAUCUAUCUCGUAUCUGAUACUGCAUGGUUCCACUCUGCAAGAACUCCAAAUCAUUCUCAUGAAGCUCAUCCUCUUAAUCAUAAAUGUUUCGCUUACCUCUAAAUGACUUGGCCCAAUAGGGAAAUCCCAAUGAAUUGGGCUUUUCAAUACAAUCAAAUAAAAAGCCCUAAGGGCUCCAUAUUCUAGGAGCCCAAACUAUGUGAUUGAAUAAAUCCUCCUUUAUCUGUUGUGGGUCAAGGAUUCCUUCUACUUCCUCUCCUUCAAACUCCAAUUCAUAUUUUUCAUAGAGAAAUCUUUGAUAAAGGAUAGAACAAGAUCCAUUUUGCAUCAUAUCUAAAGGACUUCUUAGCUCGGGCUGAAGAAGCAAUGUCUCUCAAUCAUUAUCAAAUUGACUGCAAUCUUUUUUUAUCUGUGAGGAUCCUACUAGAGUGCCUUCUCAACAAGUCCAUAACAAGUGAUCCUAUUUUUUUCAUUGGGUCCAGGUAGAGACCAAAGGUCUUGAGCAAUCGAUUCGGCAGAACAACUCAAAAGAUAAAUAAGUAUUGUUAAUUUAUUAAUGCUCGUUCAAUGUUCGAAGUACCAUUUGUACAAAUAAGAAUCCCCUUCGUUACAUGAUUUCUUAUUCAUAUAGAUAGAUAUAGGAUCUAUGGGGCAAUUACUUAGAAAUACAUUUUGUGCAACAACCCUUUCUAUCUGACAGAAAAGGAUCCCAUGAUCCUAAAACCGAUCCUACCUAAGAUCGCAAAUCCCAAGUUUGUUUAUGAAGAGCAGAUCUAAUUAUAUUAGUGUCUAUAAUUAAUUUCUUCUGUGUAAUACUAAUCGAUAGGGCCUCAUUGGUAAGUGCUACAAGAUCUCGUACAUUGGAACCCAUGGUUACAGACCUGAAUCUCUUAGUAUGAAACAUUUUCUUUUCCAAGUGAAAUCCCUUACUAUAUGAAAGAGUAAAAAAAUUCUUCUUAGAACAUAUUAAUUUGACCCCGUAAGUAGGAUUGCAACCUCAUAACAUGUUGCCGCCAGAAGCAGAACCCCAUAUUUCUUCUAGCAAAUCUCCUAAUUGUUCCAAAGCAACUAGAAAUAGAUUCUUUAACUAGAAAGAAUUCGGUUCAGAUGUAGGAUACCUAUCCAGAAGUUUUUUCAACUCAAUCAUGUAUGAUAGAAUCAUCAAAGAUUUGACCUUUUCGAACUCUGUCUGCAACUCACUAUAGGCUUGGGGAACAAAAAGAAGAUGUGUACGAACGAUAUAUCCUCCAACAAGAAAAACGAAAAGGAUUGAAUAAAAAAACUCCCAAACAUUUGGCGAUCUUAGCCACGUCGAUAUCAAUGAUGGUUCAUUAUUUUGAUGAAUCAUUUCUUCAGAAAAAUGAAGAUUAUGUAAACACUUACUCGAAAUAUCACUUAUCAGAUUCCAUUGUGUCUUCCAUAAUUUUUUCUAAAGAAUUCAUCAUAAUAUAUCUGAUCCAUGCAUAAUAUCAUGAAAAAUGGAUACAAUGUUUUGACUGCUACUUAGUAUCGGUAAUAAGUGGUCUGAAAAGGUAUCUAAAAAUAUCAAAUUUAGAUAUUUGUACCCUGUCGAAGUAAGGGACCAUGGCAUAUAUGUUUGGAAUAGAUUCCAUUUAGAGAGAGUUGAGAAAGCACAAUGUCGUUGAAAGGUUCUAUACAUCUGCCCCUUUUCAACGCAUUUCUUUAGACAAAGACUCUGUUUUCUCCUUUUUUUAGAUGGUAAAUAUUUCUUAGAAUAUGGAGUGUGAAUCAAACACAUGUUUGAAUUGAAAUUGAGAUACUGAUGCAAGUUCUUCCCUUUUGAUUCAAAUAGAUUAAUAUCUGAAAGAGGUUAACAAUAAGUUCUUUCAAAAUUGAAUAUUUAUCCCUUUAUUAGAGGUGUUCCAGAAAUGUCUGUGAUAGAAUAAAUAGCUAUACGAACGAAUGGAUCGGGUCGAAUUGGAAAAUGGAAAGGUUUGUACAAGCUUUUAUGACCACUUUUUGGAAAAUCAUUACGAAUGAAUAUGUUAGAUACUUGUGACUCGAUUGGUGAAAUAAUAUCUCUCUUUAAAAAUGCAUGUUUUAUUCACCGCCACACAAAGAAAAUAUUUUGUUGCGAAUGAACAGGAUAUUGAGGAAUUGUCCAUACGUAAAAUCAUAAUUCUUGAUAUGGGCCUUUUCCACAUAAAAAGGGAAUCUUUUGUAACAAUAGAAGCAUAAAUGAUGUAGAUUAUUCAAGAAUCGAAGUCGAUUUGCUUUAUAAAAAGAAGAUAUCAAUGAACUUCUAUAAACUAGUUUCACGGGAUUCAACCAAUUGUCUUGAUCGUGGGAUAUCAUUGAGAAAGAGGAAUUCGUGUUAUCAAAAGAUUUCUUGUGAUUAUUUCUAGUAUGGAAUGAGUCAAUCAUCCACUUUGGUAUCUUAUUGAACAAAAAUGAUGAUAUUGUUCCUCCAUUGAUAAAAAAAUUUGAUUUUUGGGAAGUAUCAUGAUCAUCCAAUAAAAAGGGUUUUCAUUUUUUCAAAUGGUUUCAUUUUUUCAAAUGAACGAUUUGAAUACCUAUUGGUUCUAAUAGCUGAUUGCAGAGUUGAUCAUUCGGACCUUUCAACUUAUAGAUAUGGAUCUCGGACCUAUAAAUGGGGAUAUUCCCAAAAGUCACAAAGAAAAAAGGAAGUGAGUUAGACAAAAAGAGAAGAAACUUGGACAAAAAAAAAGAAGUGACUUAGAUAAUUUUUUUUUCCAAUAACAUCAGACCAAUCAAUCAAAUAUUGAUUAAUACAUAAUCAAUCAAACACUACUUGAAAAAGAAAACAACUCUUUUGCUCAGAAAUGAAAUGUUCCAAAUGUUCUGGAAAUUAUUGCUCCCAUUAGACCAUUUGUAUCUAUAUGAAUUAGGAUUCCAAUUCAUGGAUCUCUCGGUUCGAGAAAGAAAAUAAGAGUUCUAUGAUUUAGAUUAUCAUUUCCUAUUUGAUCCUUUUGAAUUCCAUAUUCGAAGUUGUGAUCGGAUUUAUUUAUUAAAAAGAAUUGAAUCAAUACAUUUCUUAUAUACCCGUAGAUGCUAUAUUGGAUUUGAAUUUGGAAUCAAUCCAUAUUGAUUGAUUGCCUCCAUUAUGUUGUUGCUAGCAAAUACCACUCUUUUUUGUUUUGGAUCUUCCAAAUCAUUCUCGCAGGAGAUCUGGACCCAUUUGUUUCUGAUACUUCGAUAAAAAGAUUCAUUCUUUUCAUAAAAAAUAGGAGGUAGAACAAAUAAAGAUUUCUUUUUCAAUUCAACCCUGGAGUUCAAUACCUUAUUCAAGAAUUGUUUUCGAUCCAAUCCGUAGGAAUCAAUAAAAAAGGCAAAUCCCUUAUGAUACACCAGAUCCGACUCGGUUAUUGAUAGAGUGAAUAGAUCCGCCAUUUCUUGAAAUCUCUCUUUUGAUUCAAAAUCAUGGUUUAACGUGUAUCCCCCUCCCCCCCGUUUCGAUCAUAGAAUAGAUGAAAUAAAUCAAAAAAUGGAUUUUUGUUUUAGAAAGAAAUCUUAUUGGAACAUAAUUGCCUUGAAUAUAUUAACUAUGAUGAAAUCAAAUGAAUUGAGAUGGUAUUUUAUAAAUACAUAAUUGCCUUGAAUAUAUUAACUAUUUUUUUAUUUUUUGAUCGCUUAGAAGGGACAAAAGAAACAUCUUGUUCGUUCUUCAAUAAUUUUGAUCUCUAAUGGACCUCUCAAUAGGAUUCGAACACAAAUGAAGUUCUGACAAUUUGUCAGAGAAAAAAGAUUAUUCGAUUUCUUCCGGAAACAGAUGAUUAUUCAUCUCCUUCGCACCUUUCAUGAAUAGCCGGGAUAUUAAGGAAUAUCCAAAAAGGCAUUUAUGGAAUUGGUCUGAUUCUAUCUCUGUUUGUUCCAUUUGAAGAAAGGAAGGAUGCUAAAGAAUCGAUCUUUCUUUUAGUUGUUGAAUCUCUCUUUAAUUGAUCAAUAUGUGAUUUUGAGAAUCCUUAUUACUAAUGGAAUCAAAAUGAUCUCUAGAUUGAUAAGAAGAUCCCUUCAAUUAGCUAGAAUCCCUUCCUUGAAUGUAGCUAGAUCUUGUGGAAUCAUAUUGAAUAUUUGACGAUAUAUUUCAUGCCUUGCUAAAAAACAGAUCAUUGUUUACCAACCACGCAUUGUCUAACCAAAUCCAAUUCUCUCUUGAUAUGUUCCUAAAAAAAUCUGAUUCGUCGGAUUAUUCCCCCAACAUAUGAAACUGAGCAUAAUUUUGUAAAGAAAUAGCCCACUUCUUUCUCGAGAAGAGAUGGGAAACAUGCUCAAUAUCAUUUGAUUGAAUAGUUGACCCAACUCCUUGUUGUUUAAAGAAAUCCUCUACUUCAAUUGGUAUUUUUUCAUGAAAAGCAAACAUGAGAUAACAAAUUCAGUCUUUCACUAAGAUUUCAAAUAGAUGUCCCGAAUUCAAGUUGAUUAUGGUUCUCCCUUUUCUUGAAGAAAGACGAUUAAGCAAUUCCCAAUCAUGGUCCUUACGGAUCGGAUCAUCUAUAUAAUAUACAAAAAGAAACUCCAGAUAUUUGAUAGCUUUCUCUUUGAAUGAGAUCUCAAUUCCAGUGACGGUUUCAUUAGAUAUCUUACAACUAGAAUCCCUUUUUUUUUCGAUCCAGUUCCUCCAUCACCGUGAACCCCAGUUAGAUUGAGACAUGAUACACUUUUUUGUUAUUGGGAGAACCCAAGUACUGUCUUUCGGAUAUAGGAAAUGGCUCUCAGAGAUCUUUUUUUCUUUUGGAAGAAAGAUGAGCGAAACAAUGAACCUAUUGAUAUUGGAAGACUCAAAGGAUUCUUUCAAUGUAUCAUUUCUAGGUCCAACGGAAUUCAUAGGUAUAGGAAGAAGCCCUAUCAAACAGAGAUUUUUUCUUUCGACCAUCUUUUGAUUGUUAAUAUGAUAUAUAAGGACCACUACUACAAAUAGUACUACACCCUUGAUCAUGAAAUAUCGAUUGCUUGUUGAACCCUGUGAAAUGCGUUAAAAUAUGAUACUUCAAAUUCGGGAGUCGAAGAGUUUUAUAAAGCAUUCUUGAUGGAAAAAAAUGUGAAUGAAAGAUCCUACUUAAUUGAACUGGGUCCAUGAAUCUAAGAAAUAGUGAGAAUUCUUGAUCUCUCUCAAUUCAAAAAUCCAGGAUUUCAAUUAAUGUCCUUUCAUUGAUUCCUCCUAAAUUUAAAUUGCAUUGAUUUGUCCUAUAUAUUUCAUUUCAAUUGGAAUUUGGUUAUUCACCAUGUAUGAGGAUCCCCGCUAAACAUCUAUGACUGGAUGGUUAAAGCGCCCAACUUAUAAUUGGCAAAUUCGUAGGUUCAAUUCCUACUGGAUGCACAAUAAUGGGACCCUCUAAUAAAUCUAUUGGAAUUGGCUCUGUACCAAUGGAAUCUCAUCAUCCAUACAUAACAAAUUGGUUUUGUAUAUUCAUAUCAUAACAUAUGAACAAGAGGAACUAGCAUUCUUAUUGAGACUAGAACUCAUAGGGAAGAUAAUAGAUUUAUGGAUGGGAUCAAAUAUGCAAUAGUUACAGAUAAAAGUAUUCGGUUAUUGUUGAAAAAUCAAUAUACUUCUAAUGUCGAAUCAGGAUCAACUAGGACAGAAAUAAAGCAUUGGUCGAACUCUUCUUUGGUGUCAAGGUAAUAGCUAUGAAUAGCCAUUGACUCCCGGGAAAGGAUAGAAGAAUGAGACCUAUUAUAGGACAUACAAUGCAUUACAGACGUAUGAUCAUUAUGUCUUAACCGGGUUAUUUAAUUCCACCUCUUAGAAAGAAAAGAACUUAAAUCAAAAUACUUAAUAGCAUGGCGAUAAAUUUAUACAAAACUUCUAUCGCGAGCACACAUAAUCAAGCCGUAGACAAUCGAGUGAAAUUCAAUACACAAAAUAAUUUGAUUUAUGGGCAGCAUCGUUGUGGUAAAGGCUGCAAUGCCAAAGGAAUCAUUACCGUAAGGCAUAGAUGGGGAGGUUAUAAAUAUCUAAACCGUAAAAUCAAUUUUUGAUAGAAUGAAAAAUACAUAUAUGGUAGAAUCGUAACCAUAGAAUAGGACCCUAAUCAAAAUGCAUACAUUUGUCUCAUACACUAUGGGAAUGGUGAGAAGAGAUAUAUUUUACAUCCCACAGGAGCUAUAAUUGGAGAUACCAUUAUUUCUAGUACAAAAGUUCCUAUAAAAAUGGGAAAUGCCCUACCUUAUAGUGCGGUUUGAACUAUUGAUUUAUGUAAUUGGAAGUAACCAAUUAGGUUUACGAUGAAACCUAAACAUUGAUCAUUUAUCCAAUUUGAGUACCUCUAUAGGAUAGACCUCAACAGAAAACUGAAGAGUAAGGGUAGCAAGUGAUUUAGUUCAGUAGUUCCCUGUAUAAAAUUAUUGACUCUAGAGAUAUAGUAAUAUGGAGAAGACAAAAUUAUUUCAAACACCAACAAAACCAGAAUCGCCCCUUGUUUCAAUGAGAGGAGGACGGGUUAUUCACAUUUCAUUUGAUGGUCAGAGGCAAAUUGAAAGCUAAGCAGUGGGAAUUCUAAAGAUUCCCUAAGGGAAAGAUAGAGAUGUCUCCUACGUUACCCUUAAUAUAUGGAAGAAUCAAUGUAAUUUCAUUAAGUUAUUCGGUCUGAAUGUUACAUGAAGAACAUAAGCCAGAUGAAGGAACGGAAGACCUAGGAUGUAGAAAAGCAUAAUAUGAGUGAUUCGACAGAUUUUGAUUCCUAUAUAUCCACUCAUGUAGUACUUGACUUCAUUAUACGAUAUAUAUGAUCCAUCUGUAUAGAUAUCAUCAUCUACACCCAGAAAGGUGUAUGUUUUGGAAGAAGCUUGCACAGUUUGGGAAGAGGUUUUGAUUGAUAAAAAAAAGAAUCUACUUCAACCGACAUGCCCUCAGGCACGACCAUACAUAACAUACAUAUCACACUUGGAAGGAGUGGACAAUUAGCUAGAGCUGCAGAUGCUAUAGCAAAACUGAUUGCAAAAGAAGGAAAAUCAGCUACAUUAAAAUUACCUUAUGGGGAGAUUCGUUUAUAUCCAAAAAUUGCUAAGAAACAAUCAGACAAGUAGGGAAUGCUGGGGUGAAUGAGAAAAGUUUAUGUAAAGCUCGAUCUAAAUGCUGGCUAGGUAAACGUCCUAUAGGAAAAGGAGUAGUUAUGAACUCUAUAGACCAUCCUCAUGUGAGUGGUGAGGGGAGGGCCUUAAUUGGUAGAAAAAACCCGUAACCUCUUGGGGUUAUACUGAACUUUGAAGAUGAAGUAGAAAAAAUCUAAAUAGAAAAAUAUUGAGUUGUUGAAUGGUUAAAAAAAUAUUUUAAUAAAUAAUGUUUUGUUAAUAUGGUUUGAAUGAGCUUACUAACUAACUAGAAUGUGACUCCAUCGUUGCCUACAGACCAUCACUUAUUUACUCGUCACACUUGUUUGUUUGGAGUUUUAAGUAUGAUUCUGAAUAACAUUUCUCAAAACAAAACGUGUGAUCAAAUCUCUUACCACUUUAGCUGUGGAACUCAAGAGUUAAUCGUGUCGCGUUAAAAUUACCUCAAACACGUAUAUCCUUGGCAAUUAAUUUCUAACAGCUAAUCGUCAAAGCAUGAUUAAACCACAGUAUUAGCAUAAUCAAUUACUCCACCCCAUGGGAUAGCUGCGUAAACUCAUCUGGAGCUCCAAGCUGAAGCAGAGGAUCAUUUGUCAGGAAAGAAGAGACAGUCUAGCAUGAGAGAGAAUAGUCUGUCAGCAUAGCCAAGGUGACUGCCCAGAGCCGAAGUAAGGGUCCCCUCUCUGCCGUGUGCUUGAGAACUCUUUCCAUAGGGUGGGCAACUCAUCCUUGGCUACCAAACACGACUCUUGUCUUCAUGUAAGGCUUCACUCCCUUCAUUUACGAAAUGAUACCAAGAUAGAGUGAAUGGCGUGUUUGUCCGGAAGAAGAGAAGGCCUGGCAUGACAAAGAAGAGCCUGUCAACCUAGCCAAGGAGACUGCCUGAAACCCCGAAUGUGGGUCCUGCCUCUUUGUCCAGGGCAUAUCCCAAAUUGCAAGGAACAGGCAAAUCGUCCUUGGCUAACUAACAAGACUCUUAUUUUCAUGUUAGGUCUCUCUUCCUCUUGUGUUCAUCCUCAAAAUGUGAUGGUGAUUAAGGCAUUUUGACAUCCCCUAUUUAUAACCAACAAGAGAAUAAAAAUCCGAUCCAGAUUUGCUACAUUAAUGGCUCCUCCACAAUCUAUUUGCCUACAUGACCUUUCAUUUCUCAUAAGCUAGCUGCCCAUGAUGGAAUAAAUUCUCAUUAUGGCUGCAAAGACAUCCAAAUGCAAAGUGCAUUUGCUUCAUGAACUUUUUGCUCAGUUUUUCCAACUACAAAAUCAUGACCCUAAUGCUUAUAUUUAAUGCUUUAAAUCGAUCUUGCAUGGAAGUGAUGAACAACAUUCAGAUAUAGCUACCAAAUAGAUGUGCUGAAUUCAAGUUAAUUAUGUUUGGCCCCUUUCUUGGAGAAAGACAAUCAAGCAAUUCCCAAUCAUGGUCCUUACGGAUUGGAUCAUCCAUAUAAUAUACAAAAAGAAACUCUAGAUAUUUGAUAGCUUUCUUUUUCAAUGAGAUCUCAAUUCCAGCGAUGGUUUCAUUAGAUAUCUUACAACUAGAAUCCCUCUUUUUUCCUAUCCAGUUCCUCCACCAUCAUGAACCCUAGUUAGAUUGAGACAUGAUACACUUUUUUGUUAUUGGGAGAACCUAAGUACUCUCUUUCAGAUCUAGGAAACGGCUCGUAGAGAUCAUUUUUUCUUUUGGAAGAAAGAUGAGUGAAACAAUCAACCAAUUGAUAUUGGAAGACCCAUAGGAUUCUUCCAAUGUAUCAUUUCUAGGUCUAAUGAAAUUCAUAGGUAUAGGAAGAAGCCCUGUAAAAUUGAGAUUUUUUCUUUCGACCAUCUUUUGAGUGUUAAUAUGAUAUAUAAGGACCACUACUACAAAUAGUACUACACCUUUGAUUGUGAAAUAUCGAUUGCUUGUUGAACCCUGUGAAAUGCGUUAAAAUAUGAUACUCUAAAUUUGGGAUUCCAAGAGUUUUAUAAAACGUUCUUGAUGGAAAAAAUGUGAAUGAAAGAUCCCACUUAAUUGAAAUGGGUCCAUGAAUCUAAGAAAUAGUGAGAAUUCUUGAUCUCUCUCAAUUCGAAAAUCCAAGAUUUGAAUUGAUGUCCUUUCAUUGAUUCCUCCUAAAUUUAAAUUGCAUUGAUUUAUCCUAAAUAUUUCAUUUAAAUUGGAAUUUGGUUAUUCACCAUGUGCGAGGAUCCCCGCUAAGCAUCCAUGACUGGAUGGUUAAAGCGCCCAACUCAUAAUUGGCGAAUUUGUAGGUUCAAUUCCUGUUGGUGUGGUAUAUUCCUAUCAUAACAUAUGAACAAUAAGAACUAGCAUUCUUACUGAAACUAGAACUCAUAGGGAAGACAAUAGAUUUAUCGAUGGGAUCAAAUAUGCAGUAGUUACAGACAAAAGUAUUCGGUUGUUGUUGAAAAAUCAAUAUACUUCUAAUGUCGAAUCAGGAUCAAUUAGGAUAGAAAUAAAGAUUUGGGUCGAACUCUUCUUUGGUGUCAAGGUAAUAGCUAUGAAUAGCCACCGACUUCCAGGAAAGGGUAGAAAAAGGAGACCUAUUAUGGGACAUACAAUGCAUUACAGACGUAUGAUCAUUACGCUUCAACCGGGUUAUUCUAUUCCACUUCUUAGAAAGAAAAGAACUUAAAUCAAAAUACUUGAUAGCAUGGUGAUACAUUUAUACAAAACUUCUAUCGCGAGCACACACAAUGAAGUCGUAGACAGUCAAGUGAAAUCCAAUAUACAAAAUAAUUUGAUCUAUCGGUUGCAUUGUUAUGGUAAAGGCCGUAAUGCCAGAGGAAUCAUUACUGCAAGGCAUAGAGGGGGAGGUUAUAAACAUCUACACCGUAAAAUCGAUUUUUCACGGAAUGAAAAAUACAUAUAUGGUAUAAUCAUAACCAUAGAAUACGACCAUAAUUGAAAUGCAUACAUUUGUCUCAUAUACUAUGGGGAUGGUGAGAAGAGAUAUAUUUUACAUCCCAGAGGGGCUAUAAUUGGAUCAUUAUUUCUGGUACAGAAGUUCCUAUAAAAAUAGAAAAUGCCCUACCUUUGAGUGCGGUUUGAACUAUUGAUUUACAUAAUUGGAAGUAACCAAUCAGGUUUAAGACGAAAUCUAGAAAUCGAUCGCUGAUCUAAUUUGAGUACCUCUAUAGGAUAGACCUCAAGAGAAAACUUAAGAGUAAGGGCAGCAAAUGAUUGAGUUUGGGUAAAGCUCGAUCUAAAUGUUGGCUAGAUAAACGUCCUGUAGUAAGAGGAGUAGUUAUGAACUCUUUAGACCAUCCUUAUAGGGGUGGUGAGGGGAGGGCCUCAAUUGGUAGAAAAAAACCCACAACCUCUUGGGGUUAUCCUGCACCUUUCCUGCAAUUUAGAACUUGGAGAUCGAAACGGUCGAGGUAAAAGCUGAAUCUCAGCACCAUUGACUGCAUCUAAGAACUUGUUUAACUAGAGUAGAUCUAAAGGUGGAAGGUUUUGAUAAGAGAAUGUUAGGUUUGACUGUUUGGUUGGAAAAUUCUGUACCGACAUGUUUUUGUAAUACAUUUUAAAAAAGGAAAGGGUAAUGGACAGGUUGAAUUAGACUUAUUUGUUUCAUGGAAAACGUUUUUUCUAAAAUUAUUUGAGAAAAUGUUUUCCUCUUCAGUUGAGAAAAUGUGUCAUUUAUAGCUACAUGUUCUUGUGUCGUAGAGCUGAGAAAAUCAAGUCAGUUUGUUUUCCUCUUCGGUUGUUGUUGAAAAAAACCACAGUAUUAGCAUAAUCAAUUACUCCACCCCAUGGGAUAGCUGCAUAAACUCAUCUGGAGCUCCAAGCUGAUGCAGAGGAUCAUUGUCAGGAAAGAAGAGACAGUCUAGCAUGAGAGAGAUUGGUCUGUCAGCAUAGCCAAGGUGACUGCCCAGAGUCGAAGUAAGGGUCCCCUCUGUCGUGUGCUUGAGAACUCUUUCCAUAGGGUGGGCAACUCAUCCUUGGCUACCAAACAUGGUGGGGACACCAAGCCCACACCACCGAUUACACGAGUAUAUGGACGGAGAUGGCGUAGGAUGGCCCAGCCUGUCACGCUUUGGUUGGGAGACUAAGCCCAUGUGGGCCUAUUUCAUUGUUAUUUUAUUUAGCCCAUUUGGGUCUGCUUAUUGUUAUUUAUUUAUUUAACCCACCUGGGCCUGCUCAUUGUUAUUUAUGUUAAACAGUUCGAUUUGAUGGGCCGAGCCCAAAUAGCAGGAUGUUUUAGGGUUUACUAUUUAUAUGUUCUUUUGUCAUUUUGAGAGAUACUUUUGAUGAUUAAUGAAAAAUUGCAGAAUUUGCAUAUCUCCAAUCUCCUUUCUUCCUCUUCUCUAGCUUCUUUCUUUCCCUAAAGCUUCUUUCUUUUCUUGUUUUAAUUCUUAUUCUUUAUUGUUCCGCAUCAAAACACGACUCUUGUCUUCAUGUAAGGCUUCACUUCCUCCAUUUACGAAAUGAUACCAAGAUAGAGUGAAUGGCGUGUUUGUCCGGAAGAAGAGAAGGCCUGGCAUGACAAAGAAGAGCCUGUCAACCUAGCCAAGGAGACUGCCUAAAACCCCGAAUAUGGGUCCUGCCUCUUUGUCCAGGGCAUAUCCCAAAUUGCAAGGAACAGGCAAAUCGUCCUUGGCUAACUAAAAGACUCUUAUUUUUUGUUAGGUCUCUCUUCCUCUUGUGUUCAUCCUCAAAAUGUGAUGGUUAUUAAUGCAUUUUGACAUCCCCUAUUUAUAACCAACAAGAGAAUAAAAAUCCGAUCCAGAUUUGCUACAUUAAUGGCUCCUCCACAAUCUAUUUGCCUACAUGACCUUUCAUUUCUCAUAAUGGAAUAUAUUCUCAUUAUGGCUGCAAAGACAUCCAAAUGCAAAGUGCAUUUGCUUCAUGAACUUUUUGCUCAGUUUUUUCAACUACAGAAUCAUGACCCUAAUGCUUAUAAUUAAUGCUUUAAAUCGAUCUUGCAUGGAAAUGAUGAACAACCUUCAGAUAUAGCUGCCAUUUUUUCAAGUGAUUUCAUCUAAACGAGGAUGGAAGCUUUGGUUCGAGAGAGGUUUAGUUCCAGUAGUUGCUAAUUUCAUGGCUUCCCACUAAUUAUGCUGCUAAUAAUUAAAUCGCAGUUAAUUACCGGUAAUUAUGCUUUUGAAAUAUUCAAGUUCUGAAUAUUAGCAGGCAUUAAUUUCCCCAAUCCUAAUUAACGAGUUAAAUAAUGAAUAAAAAAUGACAAGAAGGGCGUUUUUCAUGGUGGCUUGAUUACUAAUCAUAAGUAAUUGUCCGUAUAUGUGUUAGGCUCCAUUGGGAUUACGGAUCAGUGCAUUUCCUAAACACAAUCUUAAUUAGACCUAACAACAAACAAGAUCAACAAUAUGCGGGUGGUUAAUUACGUGUCACAUAUUCGAUUCUCACCAUCUUGCCAAGAGAAAGAACGGUGGCCAAGUGCAUGCAUGAGUGGAUUUUUCCUUGCGCAUAUCAUGCAUGGGACUCUCUGACCUCCUUUAUCUGUUGCUGUCUACUCUCUCUACUAGUUUCUCUGACCUUUCCCAACUCUCUGAAGUCAAGAGAAUUUUGACCUCGAAGUGAAGAAAAGAAGCAUAAAAUCUUUAAGAGAUCUGUAUGUGAACUUUUUGAGUAAAGAUGGAUAGAGCUCUUGCAUCCAACAAGCUUUCCUGGUCCACUGUCAUGGCUUAUGAUUCCAGCGUCAAAAUCAUCAACCCAUUUGAGAUGCUCCCACGCCCACAGUUAAUGAAGUCAAUGUCUAUGCCAUACAGAUGGAUUUUAGCUAGCUUUUAUUUUGACGAAACUGACUCGACAUCCUGAUAGAAAUUAAAGAUGCUAUGAAAACAUAAAGGAAGAGAGGUUUUACAUGAAAAGAUAAAUGAUGCACUGUAUUACUUAUUAUUUCACACUCUGAUGUUAUUAUUUGCAGUGAACAUUGCUGUAUUUUUUCACAGCUCAAUAUAACAAAACUAUAACAAACUAUUUUGUCCUAUAUUCUUAUAACAGAAUGGGAGAAAGAAUACAAAGGAUUUAUUCAGUUGCAUUUACAAAUCUUGUUGCAUGGUGCUGGCAGAGUGGCAAGCGGCUGGUGUACAAAUCUUGUUGCUUGGUGCAUGUGGUUGGUGUGGUAUCUAAUACCCCCCACAACAUGUAGAAUAGAGAUUAACUAUUCCUAUAUUGGAUAAGUGUAUAUUUUGUAAGAUUUAGGAGCAUGCGUCGACGAAAAGAUCACCCUAAGAUGAUCGUCUCAUGCAGGGGCGGAGCCAGGAAUUUUUCUUAUCCUGGGCUAUAAUAUAAAUACAUAAAUUAUUUUUUAAGAUUAAUCAUUCACUCGAAUAUAUAAAUUUAUCAAAUUAACAAUAAAUUUUUAAUUCAAAUACAUAACAUAAAAUAUAUAAAAAAUAAAAUUUAAAGUACAUAAAAUUCAAAAUAAAAAUAAAAAUAAAAAUAAAUUAUACUAUCAAAGUUGCACCCUUCGAUGUUUUGUAGAAUAAAAUUCAUCUAUGAUCGAAUCCGAAUCAAUAUCUUCAACAAGCUCUCGUUCAAUGUAAAUCAUCAUAGAAUCUGCUAAGAACUUCUCUUCCAUUUUAUUGCGAAACACAGUUUUAACAUGUUUCAUAGCUGAAAAUGUCUGCUCUGUAGUGGCAGUGGAAACAGGCAAAGUCAAAACAAGACGAAUCAACCUGUCAAUCAAAUGAUAGUGCUGCGACUUAUUUGUUUCAGCUAAUCCUCGAUAUAAUUCAGAAAUGGUAGACAUAUUCUGAAAGCUCUCAUGAUGAAUCACAUCAAUCUGAUAAUGCUCUAGCUGAGAUCUCAAAUAAUACAUCUCUUGUUCAUUGAAAUCUUCAGGAUAAAAUUUCUCAGCAAGCUUGUAAAUAGCAUCAACUUUAAAUGAUUUAAAGUUGUCUUUAGGUUCUAAAACAGAGCUAAGUACAAGGAGUUCCACUGUCUCAUCACUGAAUCUAGAAUUUAAUUCUUCCAACUGAAAAUCUAUUGUUGAGUUAAAUAUAUCAUAAUGAUAAUGCUAGUAAACUGUCACCAAACCUUGUUGUUGACAUGAACGACCUGUAGCCUUUUUAUACGAAGCAUUCAUAUGUGGUAUGUCAAUCUCAUAUUUUAUGCAAACAAAUUGCACAUUUGCAAGGAGAAGAUCAAAAACGGCAUCUCUCAAAGUUUGAAGCAAUACUUUAGUAGUUGAUACAAGAUCCAUUGCAUUUAAGAUGUCAAGAGAUUUUUGCUGCAAAGCUCGACAAAGUAAAUCAGUAAUCCCCAUUAUUUUAUGCAUCAAAUAUAAGAUGAAUAUAAAUUCAAAAGAUUUCAUCACAAUCAAACAACCAACAGCUUCUCCACGUAUAGAAUUAGAAGAUCCUUCUUGAACCAUACUUUCAAGCACAGUAAUAGUUGCACCAUACAUGUCUAUUAAGCUGCAAAUAGAAUCAAAAUGAGAGCUCCAGCGAGUAGUUCCACUUCGAUGUAAAUUACCAAUUUGAUUAGCCCCUCUACCAGUCUCACGUUCUCCAGUAGCUACCAUAUGUGCAAUUUCUAUAGCCUGAGCAUAAUGUAACUCGGUAUGACGUUUGGGAGAAGCACAAAUAAGGUUGAUAAUGGUUGUCAAUUUUGAGAAAAAUAACCACAUAGAAAUCUCAUUUCCAGCUGUUGCAACUAAUGUCAGUUGUAGUCGGUGAGCAAAACAAUGUACAUAAUAUGCAUAAGGACAAUCUCUGAGAAAUAGAGCUUGUAAUCCAUUCCAUGCGCCACGCAUAUUGCUAGCA
rnacentral:lncRNA from 1 species